rnacentral:rRNA from 1 species
AUGCUUUUGUGUAAUGAAAAGUAUGCUUUAUGUGAUGGUUAUAUUGUUGAAUUUCUUCAUGAUGCUACUGAAAAUUAUUGUGAGGGAGGAACUUAUGCUUGUAGGAAUUGCAAUAAUAUCAUGUUUCCUUUCUUUAUGUUGAAAGUCUUGAAGUUAUGCUUGUUUUGCCUUCCUAUGCUAGUUGAAUCUUGUUCACAUAAGUUGUUUUCUCACAAAAUCCCUAUGCAUAGGAACUGGGUUAGACUUAAAUGUGCUUUUCAUGUGAUUCAUGAUGCUCUUGUUAUGUUUCAAUUCUUAUCUUUUAUGCGAGCAUCAUUGAAAACAUCAUGCCUAGCUAGGGGCAUUAAACGAUAG